GAUUAAUGGUUGCCAUAUCUGGUUUUCCUGUUUUAGAGAGGAAAAAAAGAAAAGAAGAAGAAGAAAAGAAAAGGUUUACAGGAGAGACUUUGCAGUCAGAAGCAAGCCCUGCCUAUGAAUGGUGA
rnacentral:lncRNA from 1 species